GCCCCGGUAGCUCAGCUGGAUAGAGCAUCCCCCUCCUAAGGGGAAGGUCAGACGUUCAAAUCGUCUCCGGGGCA
rnacentral:tRNA from 1 species